rnacentral:rRNA from 1 species
UACGUAGGGUGCGAGCGUUGCCCGGAUUUAUUGGGCGUAAAGGGCGCGUAGGCGGCUCGGCACGUCCGUUGUGAAAUCGCCCCGGCUCAACUGGGCGGGGUCAGCGGAUACGGUCGAGCUUGAGCAAGCUAGGGGGUAAUGGAAUUCCCGGUGUAGUGGUGGAAUGCGUAGAUAUCGGGAGGAACACCAGUGGCGAAGGCGGUUACCUGGGGCUUUGCUGACGCUGAUGCGCGAAAGCGUGGGGAGCGAUCCGG